GUGAAUUUCCUUUAAAUCAGGCCUUGUCUGUUAUUCUAUGCAGCACGAAACUCGACUGCGACAUGGCAAAGGAACGCGGAAUUGUCGCAGAAAUUUUAUCUUUCAAACAUUUCGAGUAGGAACUCAAUUCACGUUUGGCAAGAUUUUCACUAGUUUCUAGACAGUGCCUGCGAGACACAAAGACGUUGAUAGUCAGCGGUAAUAUACAUGAACUUGAGGAUAAAAAUCACGUGGAAUGCGAUUUGAUUCAAAAGUACAUCAGCAACGAGGAUAUUUUGGAUGGCAUCGUAAGAAGAUGGUGGACGAGCUUACAGGAAUGACUUACCAUCCAGGUAUACUUGCGAUCAGACUUUUGGCGCUUGCUAAUAUUUAUUUUACAAAUAGGAUAUUGUGUCCCAAUGAUUCGUUUGUAACCUUUACGCAACAGAAUUUGUAGCGUUGUUGGUGUAAAUCAUUUGUAACUUGAGUUGAAUAACAAAACAUAUUCGUUCAUUUAA